CCCGCCCCCUCCCCUAGAGGAGCAGUGGCAGUUUCAACCCAGGCGCCCCCUCCCACCGCCCUGAGCUUUCUUGGUGGUCUCCCAUCCCAAGAGGGGCCCUGUCGUUCUCCCUCACUUUCCUGGGCUGCUACUGAACUACCCCUGGGGAGUGGGGGUCCCAGUCAAAGCGAGGGCCUCCCCACUUGGCCCUUCUGCCCCAAGCAACCUCUUCCGAAACCCCAGGUUAAGCCGGCCUCUCAGGGAGGGGGCAAAAGGAUGGCGGGCCCUCUGAGCAUGUGCAGAGGGCCUUUCCCACCCUCCCCCACCGUUUCCAGGCUGGAGCUCCCCUGCUACCAAGACCCUCCCCACAGUUUCCUGCCAGGAAAGCAGCCCAGCCUGGAGCCAGGGGCCCCUAACACCCCACCUCCCCUCUGUGUCCCCAGGGCCGUCUCCCUCUUGUGACCCGGGGCGAGGGUCAGCGAAAGGCCUCAGGGCGGCCUCCGAGAACUGGCUCCCUCAGGAAAGCUCAAGCGAGGCAGCACCUGGCAUCGCAGCGGCAGCCGUGGGCCCCCCCAGCCCUGCACCCAGGUGGCCCCGGGGGCCCUGCAGGCAAAGUUGGGCCCUCUGAGACAGAUAAAGUGACUGAUGCCCGACUCAGGAGUGUGUUUUUCUGCCCUGCAUGACCGGGAGGCAGCGGAGGACUGGACGGGAGGUCUGUCCUCCCAUUUUCCUUGACCCCCUAGUCACUUUCCCUUCCCAUUUAAGGCACUUUGGACCAUUGAGGGUUGCAAUACGUACAAGAGAGAACAUGAGAUAAUUAAACCAUAUGUGGAAGAUGAAAAGCGUGUGAUAACAGCCCGAACCAGAAUCAGUUGCUAAAUUACAGAUUGCUGUUCCAAACUAAGAAGAUGCAAAGACAUUUAUCAUGGUCUAGAAUAGACAUGAUAUGGAUGACAAUGGAAUUGUCUUCUAAUAUAGAAGAAAUUGAUACAGAAACCAAUACCUGGGCAGACCAUAACCCUAUGAUGAUGAAAUGGAAAGGACAAAGGAGAAGAUCUAGAUGGACCCUAAAUAACACAGUAUUAAAAGACAAGGAAUUUGUACAGAAAAUGGAGGAAGAAUUGGCUUUCUUUUUUAAAGAAAAUAGAAAAGAGGACACAUCAAUACAAAAUUUGUGGGAUACAAUGAAGGCCUAUGCUAGAGGUCUGAUAAUAGACUAUACAAGGAAAAGAAAUAUUAAGAAAAGACAAGCUUAUAAAAUACUAGAGGAUGAUCACAAGAAACUGGAGAAAGAAUUACAAAAAUUUCCACAAAAAAGGACAUUAAAAUAAAAAUGGACACAAUUAAACAUAAAAUGGGAUUAAUAAAAAAAGAGGACUUAGCGCAAAAAAUUAGAAGUGCAAAACAGAAUUAUUUUGAAGAUGUUAAUAAAUGAGAUAGAUGGUUAGCAUGCAAAUUGAAAAAAGAGAGAAUUAAGAAAAAUAACCCGGCUAGUGGAUGACCAAGAACAAAUCAGAGAGGGGAAUGAAGAGAAGAAAAAAAUUAUACAAGACUAUUAUAGAAAAUUGUAUGAGAAAGAGAAUAUAGAGGAGGAAAGUGUUAAACGAUAGUUGCAAAAAGCGAGUUUACCUCAGAUUCCUAAAGAUACUGAAAUGAUAUUAGAAGGAAAUAUAACGACGGUGGAACUAACAGAAGCAUUUAAAAAACAAAAGAACAGGAAGGCACCAGGCCCAGAUGGACUACCAGCGGAAUACUAUAAGACAUUACAGGAAUCGUUUAAUCCCCCAUUGUUAGAAGUCAUGAAUGAAGUUAUGUUAAAGAUGAAACUACCUAAGUCAUGGUCAGAAGCUUAUAUUACACUUAUUCCAAAGGAGGAUACUGACUUACAGCAAAUUAAGAAUUACAGGCCUAUAUCCUUGUUGUUGUUUUUUUGUUGUUUUUUUGUUUACAUUUAUACCCCGCCCUUCUCCGAAGACUCAGGGCGGCUUACAGUGUAUAAGGCAAUAGUCUCAUUCUAUUUGUAUAUUUUUACAAAGUCAACUUAUUGCCCCCCCAACAAUCUGGGUCCCUUGUUAAACUCAGACUAUAAAAUCUUUGCUUCAAUAUUGGCAGAAAGACUUAAAAGAUAUUUAAAUAAUUUUAUACGUUCUGAUCAAAAUGGGUUUCUGCCAAAAAGACAGAUUAAAGAUAAUAUGAGGAUAAUUCUGGAUACCUUGGAAUACUAUGAGGCACAUCCCGAAAAGCAAAUGGCUUUGAUAUUUCUUGAUACACAGAAAGCGUUUGAUAAUGUGAAUUGGCGAUUUAUGCUAUUACAAUUGGAACAGAUGGGCUUUGGUAGAAAGUUUAUCCAGGCCAUAGAAGCCAUAUACUAUAAACAAACAGCAAAAGUAAUGAUAAACGGAGAAUUGACAGAGUCUAUUGAAAUAAAAAAAGGAACAAGACAGGGUUGUCCACUGUCACCUCUGUUGUUUGUACUAACAUUAGAAGUGUUAAAUAGAAAUAUUAGAGAAGAAAAAGACAUAUAAGGCAUGACAAUUCAAAAGGAAGAAUAUAAAUUACAAGCAUUUGCAGAUGACCUGGUUUUUAUUUUGGAAGAUCCAUUAGAAUCAAUAACUAAACUGAUAGACGAGAUAGGAGAAUAUGGAAAAGUCGCAGGAUUGAAAAUAAACAAAGACAAAACCAAGAUUUUGACAAAAAACAUGUUAAAAAAACAAAAAACUGGUGGAACUAUCAAAGAUGCAGGUCACAAAUAAGGUGAAAUAUGUGGGAAUAUAUUUGACAGCAAGAUGCAGUACACUUAAAGAGAAUAACUAUAGUAAACUUAAAUAACAGAUAGUGCCAGAUUUUGCAAAGUGGGAGAAUUUACAACUAUCAUUGAUAGGGAGAAUAUCAACGAUUAAGAUGAAUAUAUUGCCUAGAAUUUUAUACUUGUUCCAGACAAUUCCAAUUAGGUUGGGGAAAGGAUAUUUUGAAGAAUUGAAUAAAAUAGUGUUGAAAUAUAUUUGGCAGGGCAAAAAAGCGAAGAUAAAAUUAAAACUGUUGCAAGACGCCAGAAUACAGGGAGGUUUUGGAUUGCCUAAUUGGGAAUUAUACUACCAAGCAACAAAUUUGAUGUGGAUCAAGGAAUGGAUAAUGUUAAGAAAUACUAGAAUAUUGACUUUAGUAGGACAUGACUUGUCGUUGGGAUGACAUACCUUCUUAUGGUACAAGGAAGCAAAAACACAAGGGUAUUUCAGAAGACAUUUUAUACGAGAGGCCUUGUUAUUAAAUUGGGAGAAGAUUAAGAGAUUACAUUAUUUAAAAAUUCCAGUCUGGUUAUCAACUAUUGAAGCAUUCUCAUAUUCAAUAACAUUCAGAAAGGAACAAAUUGUUAGAUACAGUGAAUUAUUGAAUGAAAAGAGUGAACUUAAAUCUAUGCAACAAUUAGAAAUACAAGGUAUAAAGAUGAAUUGGUUUUCUUACUUGCAAAUACAUUCUAGAUACGAUAAAAGAUUUUAAGACAGAAAGUUUUUAUAAUACUUUGACUAACUUAGAUAAAAUUUUAACAGGUACUGAUGAAAAUGUAAUUAAAAAAUUAUAUGGAUAUUUAUUAGAGGUUAAAUUGGAAGAACAACAAGUUAAAGAAACAAUGAUUGCUUGGGGGGAAAAUUUUGGACAUGGGAUUGACUUAGAGAAAUGGAAAAAAUUGUGGGUGCAAGAUUAUAAAAUGACAAUGUCAACUGCAGAUAAAGAGAAUCUGUAUAAGAUGUUUUACAGGUGGCAUCUACUUUCGACGAGAAUAACUAGAAUGUUCAAGAAUAAAUCCAAAAGAUGUUGGAAAUGUCAUCAGAUACCGGCUCAUAUUACCAUAUGUGGUGGAUGUGUGCAGAAGCGAGAAGAUAUUGGACUAAAAUCCACACGUGGUUGGAAAAAAUGAUAAAAAAGCACAUAGACUUUAAACCAGAGGUUUUUUUAUUGGGGAUCAUACCUGAAACAUACAAUAGAGAAUUGACAUAUUUGAUUGUGAAUGUAGUAACAGCGGCUAGAAUUGUGUUUGCUAAAAAUUGGAAAAAUGAGAAAAUACCAACGCAAGAUGAAGUCAUUAAGAAAAGAAUGGAAUGUGCUGAAAUGAGCAAAUUGACAUUUGAAAUUAGAGAACAGGAAGAUAAAUAAUAAGAUAUGGACUUAUUUUAUCAAUGGUUAGAUAAAAAAAUAUGGUAAUGAAGUUUGGUGGAGGUUUUUACAAUACAAGAAUUGUAGAAAUAUACAAAAUAGAACAUAAAGAUGUAUGAUUAUUGGAUUGAUUCAGGAUGAUGAAAUGAUUGCUACAAUAUGUUAACUUAAAUUUAAAACAUUUUGUAUGAAGUGUGGGAAGAAGUACCCAUAGUUAAAUAAAUGACUAAUGAGGGCAAAAAUAUUUGGAUAUAUACCAGAUUGAUAAAACAUGAAAUUAGAUGAACUACAAACUAUGAAUACGGUAAAAAUGCACAAAAGAUUUGUAACCAACUGACACACUCUUUGUAUUUGUAAUUGAAGAAGAUGUUAUG